UACAGAGGUCUCAAGCGUUGUUCGGAUUCAUUGGGCGUAAAGGGUGUGUAGGUUGGCGCCGUAAGUCGGGUGUGAAAUUUCGGAGCUUAACUCCGAAACUGCAUUCGAUACUGCGGUGCUUGAGGACUGGAGAGGAGACUGGAAAUUCAUGGUGUAGCAGUGAAAUGCGUAGAGAUCAUGAGGAAGACCAGUGGCGAAGGCGGGUCUCUGGACAGUUCCUGACACUGAGACACGAAGGCCCAGGGGGAGCAAAACGGGG
rnacentral:rRNA from 1 species